UUUUACGUUGAUGACAUGCUGACUGGA
rnacentral:sRNA from 1 species